CUUGCAGCUUGACAAGACAAACGAGGGAGCUCAGAAAUACGCUGAGUUUCUUCACCUUUGCAAGAGGAGAUUCACAGAUUUUGAGAGCUGGCAAUUAGGAGUCAGAAAAUCUGAGGUCAAAUUUAGGAUGUGUUGGAUGAGGCAGCUACAAUGAAACUUUUAGAGAGG